rnacentral:rRNA from 1 species
UCUACACGACUCUCGGCAACGGAUAUCUCGGCUCUCGCAUCGAUGAAGAACGUAGCAAAAUGCGAUACCUGGUGUGAAUUGCAGAAUCCCGCGAACCAUCGAGUCUUUGAACGCAAGUUGCGCCCGAGGCCAUCUGGCCGAGGGCACGCCUGCCUGGGCGUCACG